AUUGAACGCUGGCGGCAGGCCUAACACAUGCAAGUCGAGCGAGCGGCGGACGGGUGAGUAAUGUCUGGGAAACUGCCUGAUGGAGGGGGGUAACUACUGGAAACGGUAGCUAAUACAGCACACAAUCAGAUGUGCCCCGAUGGGAUUAGCUAGUAGGGGGGGUAACGGCUCACGUAGGCGACGAUCCCUAGCUGGUCUGAGAGGAUGACCAGCCACACUGGAACUGAGACACGGUCCAGACUCCUACGGGAGGCAGCAGUGGGGAAUAUUGCACAAUGGGCGCAAGCCUGAUGCAGCCAUGCCGCGUGUAUGAAGAAGGCCUUCGGGUUGUAAAGCACUUUCAGCGGGGAGGCGUUACCCGCAGAAGAAGCACCGGCUAACUCCGUGCCAGCAGCCGCGGUAAUUC
rnacentral:rRNA from 1 species